GACGAACGCUGGCGGCGUGCUUAACACAUGCAAGUCGAACGGAAAGGCCCUGCUUUUGUGGGGUGCUCGAGUGGCGAACGGGUGAGUAACACGUGAGUAACCUGCCCUUGACUUUGGGAUAACUUCAGGAAACUGGGGCUAAUACCGGAUAGGAGCUCCUGCUGCAUGGUGGGGGUUGGAAAGUUUCGGCGGUUGGGGAUGGACUCGCGGCUUAUCAGCUUGUUGGUGGGGUAGUGGCUUACCAAGGCUUUGACGGGUAGCCGGCCUGAGAGGGUGACCGGCAACAUUGGGACUGAGAUACGGCCCAGACUCCUACGGGAGGCAGCAGUGGGGAAUAUUGCACAAUGGGCGGAAGCCUGAUGCAGCAACGCCGCGUGCGGGAUGACGGCCUUCGGGUUAUAAACCGCUUUCGCCUGUGACGAAGCGUGAGUGACGGUAAUGGGUAAAGAAGCACCGGCUAACUACGUG
rnacentral:rRNA from 1 species